rnacentral:rRNA from 1 species
AGCAGCCGCGGUAAUUCCAGCUCCAAUAGCGUAUAUUAAAGUUGUUGCAGUUAAAAAGCUCGUAGUUGAAUUUCGGGAUUAGUACGCUGGUCAUGCCUUUGGUAUGUACUGGUGUUACUGGUUCCUACCUUCUGAAGAACCGUCAUGUCAUUAAUUUGGUGUGGCGGGGAAUCAGGACUGUUACUUUGAAAAAAUUAGAGUGUUUAAAGCAGGCUCGCGCUUGAAUACAUUAGCAUGGAAUAAUGAAAUAGGACGUUUGACCCUAUUUUGUUGGUUUCUAGGAUCGACGUAAUGAUUAAUAGGGAUAGUUGGGGGCAUUAGUAUUCAAUUGUCAGAGGUGAAAUUCUUGGAUUUAUUGAAGACUAACUACUGCGAAAGCAUUUGCCAAGGAUGUUUUCAUUAAUCAAGAACGAAAGUUAGGGGAUCGAAGACGAUCGGAUACCGUCGUAGUCUUAACCAUAAACUAUGCCGACUAGGGAUCGGAUGAUGUUAUUUUUAAUGACUCAUUCGGCGCCUUACG